GACGAAGUCGUAACAAGGUAACCGUAGGGGAACCUGCGGUUGGAUCACCUCCUUUCUAUAGGAGAAA
rnacentral:rRNA from 1 species